AUAUAUUUUUUUCUUCCUGACAGCCUCUCUCUCUCUCUCUCUCACUAUAUAUAUAUAUAUAUAUAUAUAUAUAUAUAGAGAGAGAGAGAGAGAGAGAGAGAGAUAGCGGCUGUCAGGAAUGAAAAAAUUA